rnacentral:rRNA from 1 species
UACGGAGGGUGCAAGCGUUAUCCGGAUUCACUGGGUUUAAAGGGUGCGUAGGUGGGCAGGUAAGUCAGUGGUGAAAUCUCCGGGCUUAACUCGGAAACUGCCAUUGAUACUAUCUUUCUUGAAUACCGUGGAGGUCAGCGGAAUAUGUCAUGUAGCGGUGAAAUGCUUAGAUACGACAUAGAACACCAAUUGCGAAGGCAGCUGGCUACACGAAUAUUGACACUGAUGCACGAAAGCGUGGGGAUCAAACAGG